UACGUAGGGUGCGAGCGUUGUCCGGAAUUAUUGGGCGUAAAGAGCUCGUAGGCGGUUUGUCACGUCUGCUGUGAAAUCCCGAGGCUCAACCUCGGGCCUGCAGUGGGUACGGGCAGACUGGAGUGCGGUAGGGGAGCAUGGAAUUCCUGGUGUAGCGGUGAAAUGCGCAGAUAUCAGGAGGAACACCAGUGGCGAAGGCGGUGCUCUGGGCCGACACUGACACUGAGAGACGAAAGCUAGGGGAGCGAAUGGG
rnacentral:rRNA from 1 species